GACGAACGCUGGCGGCGUGCUUAACACAUGCAAGUCGAACGGAAAGGCCCUGCUUUUGUGGGGUGCUCGAGUGGCGAACGGGUGCGUAACACGUGAGUAACCUGCCCUUGACUUUGGGAUAACUUCAGGAAACUGGGGCUAAUACCGGAUAGGAGCUCCUGCUGCAUGGUGGGGGUUGGAAAGUUUCGGCGGUUGGGGAUGGACGCGCGGCUUUUCAGCUUGUUGGUGGGGUAGUGGCUGACCAAGGCUUUGACGGGUAGCCGGCCUGAGAGGGUGAACGGCCACAUUGGGACUGAGAUACGGCCCAGAGUCCUACGGGAGGCAGCAGUGGGGAAUAUUGCACAGUGGGCGGAAGCCGGAUGCAGCAGCGCCGCGUGCGGGAUGACGGCCUUCGGGUUGUAAACCGCUUUCGCCUGUGACGAAGCGUGAGUGACGGUAAUGGGUAAAGAAGCACCGGCUAACUACGUG
rnacentral:rRNA from 1 species